CACAGUCACACUCAUACUCACACACACACACACACACACUUCCUGUCUUCUGCAUGGAUCCAUGGUAGCCCUCCGCUGACCAGGCUGGAAGAACGUGCGCACACACUGAAAAGAAAGCUGUUGAUUUAGUGCUGGCGACCCUCCAGCCGUGGAAGUGGGGGGUCCCAGAACGGUUAUUAUUUCUUUUUCUGCCAGCAGAAAACAUCUGUCCUGUGAAAAUUAUAUUUGCCAAGAGACCACAGCAUACCUGCUGGGAGCCCUGUGGCCCUCCCCUCCAACUCUUCUUACAGGCAGAGGCUACAGACUGUGCUCUGGUGAGACUGACCAUGGACCCCCAAAAGCUCUCAACACCCUGAGCUGACCAGAAGGAGAGAGAGUGUCCUCUGACAAGGAGGCCUCUAGGAACCACCGAAAUGGAGCUUGUGACUCUCAUGAACAGAACUUUGAUUCCACCCAAGUUAGCUGCCUCUGGAUCUCUUAACUGGCCCUGCCCACCUUAAUUUGCAUAAAAGACCAUGGACUUGAGAAGAUAUUAAAAUAAAAUCAACGAUCUCAUUAUCAUAUCAAAACUAUGUAAGGAAUUUUUGUGGGUUAGGGAUUAUCAUUCCCAGUUAGAUGAGAAAACCGGGGCCCAGAGAAGUGAAUGAGCUUGCCCAACUCACAAAACCAAGAAGUGGAAUGAACAUGAGCUUUCCUGGUGAAUGAAGACUAAACAUCAAGUUUACUGCUUCCUGCUGCCUCCUGUUGGUGUGAAGAGGAAAGAGCAAGACUCUGGGUUGUCUGAAGAACGGCGCCUUCCUUCCUGCAGUUGAGGAGGCAAGCCUCCCUUCCACCCCACCAAGCCACAUUCUCAGGAUGCCUAAUUGUUUCAGUUUUCAGAGGUUUAACAGAACUCAGGAAUUGGAGUGAUAGCCUUCCAAGCCAGCAGUGGUUUCAGGCUGGCUGGAGGAUCCGCAUGGUCUCCUCUUUUCAGCCUGGUCCCUAAUCAUCUGCCCUCUGAGUUGUAGGUGCAGCCUUGGGAGAUGACCAGAGACAGGAAGGGGUCUGAUAUUUACCAGCUGUGUAGAUACCACACAAGGGCUUCACUUCUCUGACCUUAGUUUCCUUCUCUUUAAUAGAAUCAGGAUGUCUGCAACUUUCCUAGAACAUUGUAAAUUGGAACAAGAUUUGGAGUUAGGCACUUAGAAAAUGUCCACUUCCCUUGCUUCUCUUUCAGUUUCUGCUGGCAGCUUUAGCAAGGACUGAAAUAUUGAUUGCUCUCCUGCACGGUGCUUUGGCCAAGCCUUGGGGCUGAUGUCCCAGUCAUGAAGUCAUUGUGUGCUGAGCCAGGAGGAUGAGUAACCACCUCCCUCUCCAGUUGAACUUUAUCUCAUACAGGUGUUUGGGUUGAGGCAGCCCAGGCACCUCUGCCCAAUCCCAAAUCAGACCAUUACACCCAGCACGUGCUAUGAGCUAACAAAGCAAGAGCCGCCAAUCAUGGCUAUAAAUCCAGGGUGUUUAUGUAGUCUUGGUGCACCUCUAAACUCCAAUAACCCCAAGUCCCACAGGAGUAGAGAAAACAAGCUGCAAUUGUUGUUUACUCAUCAAAACCACAUUCUUCAGAGGAAUGAGGAGUCAGGACCCAGAUGUCACUCAGUAAAUCAUCCAGCAACAACUAGGGAAUGAUUGCAAUGGGUGAAACACUCUGAUCAAAUAAUGGAAUGAAGGAGAGAGCAAGGCUUAAAACAAAGAAAUCAGCCUGGAUGAGGCUGGAGCCCAGAAGAUUCCUUCUCUCUGUGCCAUUUGCAAAUGUGUGUCUUCAGGGUGAACAUGCAGAGUGAUUCACCUUAAAGUUUCAUGGGGAGGGGUCCAGGGCUUCAUUAACACCGGGUUCAAUAGGUUAUUAAAGUACGCUCUCCUUUCAAAUGUA